AAUCCAUGGGGUGGGCAUUUCAAAAUUAAUUCUUUAAAUCUUUCCCAGCUUUCAUAGAAUUUCUCUUCCUCUUCCUGAGUAAAACCGUUAAUCUCCUAACGGAAUUC